AAUGNGNAAGCNCGCCACGGGAGCCUGAGUGCUUGACUUUUUGGUCAAGCUUUUCUGAUGCCUAAAAAGCAUCAGGAAUAAGGGCUGGGCAAGACGGGUGCCAGCCGCCGCGGUAACACCCGCAGCUCGAGUUGUGAUCACUUUUAUUGAGUCUAAAGCGUUCGUAACCGGUCUUAUAAAUCUUCAGAUAAAUUCUUCCGCUUAACGGAAGAACUUCUGAAGAGACUGUAAGACUUGGGACCGGGUGAGGUUGAAUGUACUUUCAGGGUAGGGGUAAAAUCCUGUAAUCCUGAAAGGACGACCGGUGGCGAAAGCGUUCAACUAGAACGGAUCCGACGGUGAGGGACGAAGGCUAGGGGAGCAAACCGGAUUAGAUACCCGGGUAGUCCUAGCUGUAAACGCUGCCCACUUGGUGUUGCUUCUCCGUUGAGGGGGGGCAGUGCCGUAGCGAAGGUGUUAAGUGGGUCACUUGGGGAGUACGGCCGCAAGGCUGAAACUUAAAGGAAUUGGCGGGGGAGCACCGCAACGGGAGGAGCGUGCGGUUUAAUUGGAUUCAACGCCGGAAAACUCACCGGGAGCGACUUCGGAUGAGGGNUCAACGCUGACGNAAUUUACCCCGAGUAGAAGGGAGACGNUGGUGCAUGGCCGUCGNUCAGCUCGUACCGUAGGGCGUUCACUUAAGUGUGAUAACGAGCAAGACCCCCAUCUCUAAUUGCCAGACUGUCUUACCGGGCAGAGGCACUUUAGAGGGACCGCCAGCGCUAAGCUGGAGGAAGGAGGGCUCGACGGCAGGUCAGUACGCCCCGAAUCUCCCGGCGCUACACGCGCGCUACAAAGGACGGGACAAUGAGCUGCAACCUCGAAAGGGGAAGCUAACCUCGAAACCCGUUCGUAGUCAGGACUGAGGGCUGUAACUCGCCCUCACGAAUGUGGAUUCCGUAGUAAUCGUAGGUCAACAGCUACGGUGAAUAUGCCCCUGCUCCUUGCACUCACCGCCCGUC
rnacentral:rRNA from 1 species